GUCUCAGAAGUAAAGAUCAGAGCUCAAUAAUCUGAGAAGUCUACAGGUCGUGGUGAACAUGGUCAAGUGGUUGAUCAUGAUAACUGUGGAGGUACAGAUGGUUGGAUCAAGGUGAAAGACAAGUGUUUAGUGUGCUUUCUGAAGUAGCAGAUGAUGAGUCUAAGGCGUGGUGAUCUAGGGAGUGAUAAAGGAGUGCUGCAAGGAAGCUGCUGUAGUAGAAUAAAUCUGAGAAAAGAUUCAUGUCUGUGGGAAGAACGUGUAUGUUCUCUAACGAUGGAUGGACAGAGACUGAGACAAAAUCAUAUUGGAGUUCUCAGUGGGAACAAGAAGAACUUGUGGAGCAGUGUUCUUUUCAGAGAAAAUUUCUCAGAAGAGAGUCAAGUGAAUGUAACACUCAAAGUCAGUUCAGUUGAGUGGCGCAAGGAAGCAAAAGGA
rnacentral:lncRNA from 1 species